CCUACGGGGGGCUGCAGUGAGGAAUAUUGGUCAAUGGCCGAGAGGCUGAACCAGCCAAGUCGCGUGAGGGAUGACGGCCCUACGGGUUGUAAACCUCUUUUGUCGGGGAGCAAAGAGAGUCACGUGUGGCUUAUUGAGAGUACCCGAUGAAAAAGCAUCGGCUAACUCCGUGCCAGCAGCCGCGGUAAUACGGAGGAUGCGAGCGUUAUCCGGAUUUAUUGGGUUUAAAGGGUGCGCAGGCGGAGGUGCAAGUCGGUGGUCAAAUUGCGGGGCGCAACCCCGUACUGCCGGGGAAACUGGAUCCCUUGAGGGUGCGAGAGGUAUGCGGAAUGCGUGGUGUAGCGGUGGAAUGCAUAGAUAUCACGCAGAACCCCGAUUGCGAAGGCAGCAUACCGGUGCACAACUGACGCUCAGGCACGAAAGCGUGGGUAUCGAACAGGAUUAGAUACCCCGGUAGUC
rnacentral:rRNA from 1 species